rnacentral:lncRNA from 1 species
AGAGUAUGUGUCAAUACAAACCUAGACAUAACCCUCAUGCUGGUUUCAGUUUUCCAACUUCCUCCUUUGGGCCUGAAUCCACUUGAAAUGGUCAUAUUUCCAUGAUUUGUAUCAAUGGGCAACAGUUUUGUUCCUUCAAAAGUCAGAAUUCUGUUCAUUAUCUGGGUUGGAAUAACCCCCACUUUUCCCAGCAUAAGUACUUUUAAAUGUGGUGUGCCUUCUUGUGCAAUGUCUUUACUCUGGCUGUGCAUCAAUAGCUGCAUGGUUUCCAUGCAACCUCCCAUGGCCUGGAUGCAUCCACACUGUAGAGUCCAUGUUGCUGUGUAGAUUCCAUGCAGUUUGUUGCCAUUUAAUGGCACUAGUACAGCUAAAUAUUUUCCCCUGACAUUAAGUCUAGUCAUGUCUGACUCUGGGGGUUGGUGCUCAUCUUCAUAAGAUUAGAUCCUUUAAGUGAGCUUUUCCAUUUCUAUAAACAUAUCCUGCUCACUCUGGUGAUAUAGAAUGAUAUUUUCCACAUUUGCUGGGGUUAGAAGCACAUAACCUCUUGGUAGUGAAAAGCCAUUAAUAAAUUGCUAAAUGAACACCUCUCUAGGAAUUUUUAGGUCUUCUAGUACGUCUCAAUGUCCAUGUUUGGCUUCUGCUGGAAGCCAAACAUAGAAAUGCAUUAGAGGAACUAGAGAGCAUGAGAGCAGUUGUACAGGUCAUCACCUACAAAGUCCUAAACACUUCGGGACCCUCUUAGUCUUUAGGAAAAGCUUAAAAACCUGGUUUUCCAGCAGGCUUUCAGAGAGUGAACACUCUCCUCAUGUUAGGUUCUCGUCUAGUGACCAUUACAUAUUUGAUGCACUUUAUCUUAUCCCAACAGUUAGAAACAAUCUUAACGUCUACCUCAUCCCAAGUUUCCUAUCAACUUGCAGCACUUUGGCUUCCCAUUUCAUUCUCUUGUUUAAAUUGUAUACUCCGCACACUUUGGCCCAGUUCAUUUUUACAAUUUUUUGCUUUGGUUUGUAGAUUAGGUCAUGUUGAUAUUACUGUUUUUAAUGUUUAAUGUGUUUAAAUGCAUUUUUGUGAUCUGUUUUUAUUGUUUCAAUUUUUCUCAUGUCAGGAGCGACUUGAGAAACUGCAAGUCGCUUCUGGAGUAGAAAAAAAUCGUUUCAAUGAUUGUAAUUAAUCCGGGCUUGUCCCCAUGUAAGCCAGCCCGAGUCCUCUAGGGGAGCUGGAGGCAGAGCAUAAAAAUAAAAUUAUUAUUAUUAUUAUUAUUAUUAUUAUUAUUAUUAUUAUUAUUAUUAUUAAUGUAAGGAUCU